rnacentral:misc_RNA from 1 species
AUCAAUUUUUUUAAUUUAUUUUUUUGCUGAAAGGUUUAAUUUUUUAAAAUAUUGCUCCCAACCAUUAGACCUGGAUAGGAACGUUCGAGAUGAUUGCCAUUACAAAGUUAGAUGGUACCUUCCUAAUGUUGGUCCUUUAGGAAUAAAAACCUUGGGAGGAGUUUUGCUAGAAAGAGAGUUUUCUCUCGAAAUUAUUUCUUUUCUGUAAUUUAGUCCGCUUUGUUUGACGGUUUUUGCAGUCGUCUUUUGCCCUUUUCGAAUACGGAACGGCCUUGCCCCCUUGCCCAGGAAGUGGGUCUCUCCCUCCCCACCUCUAGGCAGGAAUUAUACAUAAAUAUUAGUUUUUUUAUUAUUUUUGCGGUUGAUCUAGUUCUUAUUGUACUAGGGUUUCGGUUAAUCUACCUUUUUAAGAUGGGUUGCAUGCGAGUCUAGUGGGUACACAUCUCUGAGGUUCUGUCAAUCUUCUUGCUCUGGAAGAGGGUCUAUGUGUUAUGAGAUGAGGUAUCUCUGGGUCCAUAACCGGUGAUGACCACUCAUGGCUGACCCUUAAGGCUUCUCUGCUGUUGAGCUCCACUUCAUCACCCUCGCGAGCUGCCUGUUUGAUCUGUGAUGCUGCUGGUUCUUUUUUUUUUUGAAAAUGCUAAUGCUAUUGGUUCUGUGGUCUCUGCUCUCCCUUAUUCCUUAUGAUCUAGUUUGGUUAUGUUCCGGGUUGUCACCUCUUGGUGGCUUGGACAAUUCAUAUAACCGCACAAUUCUCUCCUUUUGUGCUUAAUUAAUUGUUGGUGGCUUCUUGUGGCAGUUGAAGUCAAAGGCCUCUGAUUGGCAACGCUGUUUUGGGUUCAUGCUCGACAUUUAGCCGCGUUUCUAGUUUGGGCAUCGCACUCGUCAAUGGGUUUGGUUUUUCUACAUUUUCUUUCUUGGGUUGGCAAAGGCCUUUUCUACGUUAAUGUGUAAUUGAGCCAUGGGCGUUGUCUCUGAAAUGCUUAUUAAUAUAUAUCUAUCUUUCCAUUUUAAAAAAAAAUAAAAGUAUAAAAACUCUAUUGGAUCCAGUAGUUACUGUUCCCAGCAGAAGUGGCGAUUGGUAAUUGCUGACAUAGUACCUACUAGCUUUUAA